rnacentral:rRNA from 1 species
UGAGGAAUAUUGGGCAAUGCCCGCAAGGGUGACCCAGCAACGCCGCGUGGAGGAUGAAUGUCGUAAGAUUGUAAACUCCUGUUAGAGGGGAAGAAUAGUACCGGUUGGACCGGUAUAUGACUGUACCCUCAGAGAAAGCCCCGGCUAACUACGUGCCAGCAGCCGCGGUAAUACGUAGGGGGCAAGCGUGGUCCGGAUUUACUGGGUGUAAAGGGCGCGCAGGCGGGAUAAAAAGUCAGUGGUGAAAUCCUACAGCUUAACUGUAGAACUGCCUUUGAUACUUUUAUUCUUGAGUUCGGGAGAGAGAGACGGAAUUCCAGGUGUAGUGGUGAAAUACGUAGAUAUCUGGAAGAACACCAGUUGCGAAGGCGGUCUCUUGGUCCGACACUGACGCUGAGGCGCGAAAGCGUGGGGAGCAAACA